CCCUGUGUGGCUCAGUUGGUAGAGCAUGGUGUUUGCAAUGCCAGGGUUGUGGGUUCGAUUCCCACGGGGG
rfam:Salmo salar isolate Sally breed double haploid chromosome ssa15, whole genome shotgun sequence.